UAUUCUGGUGGAGGAAAAGUUCAAGACAGGGUGUCCACUAGGUCCAAUGGCAAUUCCUUUGCAAACCAAAGCAAGAUGGAGGACUUGGCUUCCAUCAUUUUAUCUCCUUCAAUCAUGCACUACAUGCCAAACUAGGUUGGAGAAUCAUAAACAAUCCCAACAACUUAUGGGUCCGAGUUCUUAAAGCUAAAUACUUUCCCCACACAAAUUUCCUUGAAGCUAGACCGUUGAAAAGCAGUUCCUAGGGUUGGAAGAGUCUCUUUAAGGGAAGGGAAUGUCUUCUUAAAGGGCUAAGGUGGCAGGUCAACAAUGGAGUAUUAACUGAUGUCUUUAACAACCCUUGGAUUCCCACCAUUCCAUAGGGGCGAAUUUCAUGCAGGCCACUCCCAUCAUUGGACCCCAAAGUGUGUACGUUGAUUGAUUGGCGGUCCAAUUGUUGGAGAUCAGAUCUGAUCUCUGACUUUUUCACCCACUCUGAAGCUCAAGCUAUCCUACAACUUCUACUCAGCUCACAAACUAUCAAGGAUACAUGGAUGUGGUCUCUAUCCCGGAGUGGCAGGUUUCUCUAUGCGCUUAGCUUACCACUCAAGCUUAUUCGAUUCCACCACUAAUGGUGCCCCAGCUUCAGCCUCCUCUGCAGUUUCCUUCUGAAACGAGAUCUAGACGAUGAAUAUUCAACCCGAGGUGCAAUUGUUCCUCUGGCGAUGUGGCCACGAAGCAAUCGCGACUGCUGCUCGGCUAACAAAGAGAGGCAUUGGGUAUAGCACCUUAUGCCCUGCCUGCCAUCUUGAGGAUGAGGAUCCCAUCCACGCGCUCCUCCGUUGUGAUCACGCUGCAACUUGUUGGCUGGUUUCACCUCUUCGCAUUAAUGUCAAAGAUUUUUGGGGUAACUCGGUAUAAGAAUGGGUCUCCUUCCUCCAUGCUCGUUUUAAGGACGCGGCUCUGGUUAGCUACCUAAACAUCAUUUGGUCCUCGAUCAUAUGGUAGAUUUGGAAAUCCAGGAACCAAGCGAUUUUUGAGCUCAAGCACCUUUGCAUCAGUUCAACCUUCAUAGCCUUUAGUCUUAUGAUAGCGGAGGCUUCCAAUCCAAUCAGGCAAAGCAGUAACCUAGCCGAUGCCAUUCCUAUUCCCUUAGCCUCAGUGGGUCCUUCAUCUGAGUUGCAUUAUACUAUCUUCACUGACGGUUCGUGGAAUUCCAUUCCUCCUCUUAUUGAAGGGGUUCUAUUGUUUGGGACCCAGGUGGCCUCUUCGUGGAAGCUAAAUGUAAAAGAAGCUUUGUGACCUCGGCUUGUGGUUCAGAGCUUGAAGCCAUCCGGGAUGGAAUUUUUCUUGCUGGCAGCCUUGGGUUAUCUCGAAUUAUCAUCCAUUCGGACUAUUCCCCGGUCGUCGCCUUCUUGAAUGGGCAAGCCUCUUCCCUUGACUGGGUUGGUGCUACCAUUGCCUAAGUCGUUAUCCUUCUCUCGUCCACCUUCACCUCGAUUAUGUAUAUCCACAUCUAUCGUGAGAACAACUCAGCAUCGAAUUUUCUAGCCUCCGGAGCUCGGAAGCUCAGGCUCUCCUAUGUAUGGUGGCUCCGCCCACCACCCUUUAUUGUAACUAGCUCUCUUAUCUUUAGACGGUGCUUCCGCCGCUCUUCCUUCUUUCAAUAAAGUAUUCUACUUUUGUCCAAAAAACAAAAAAGUAUCGAAAUCUUAUCGAAUACCAUACUGGCCCUUGCCUCAAGUAGGUUUCACCCACAACUUGGUAAAAUGCCCAAAACCCCAGCUUGAGGAUUUCCAAACAAGCAUGUUGGGCUAGAAUCACAUGCUCAUUUGAGGUCCAACUGGGAUGGUCUCUUUAAGAAAAUAAAUCAAGGCCUUCCCUAGGUUUUUCCUGGUCUAGCAACUCUAGCCCACACCCUAAAUCUAUUCUAGCACAUAUUGCUUUUAUGAUAUCUAGUUGAGAGGCUUCUGUAAUUUCCUUUGGACAAAGAUCAAUGUCUUAUGGCCUUAAAUGACCUAGAUUACCAUUUUAGCCCUUCGGAGGGGCAUCAUAUGGAUUAGGUUUCCCUGCUCAUUACUCUUCUAAAAUCCUGACCUUUAUAAAUACGUAGAGAUGGUUUAGUUGUCAUCUUCAUGAUACGAAAACACUGAAACAAAUCGACGAAGGUUCCAGAAGCUGAGGGAGAAGAUGAGAGCCAAGUUGCCGUGGAAGAAGAAGCGCAUGAGGAGACUUAAGAGAAAGUGCCGAAAGAUGAGGCAGAGAUCCAAGUAGAUUGGAGCAGUGGCGCAUGGACACAAAGAUGGUUCGUUGUACACAAUUCCUUUCCUCCUGUUAUCACCUUCGUGUUGUGAAGGGAUGAUGCAGAUACGCACCUAUGGAGCAGUUCAUACCCAUCUGGGUUUCCGGAUAGGGAUGAACCAGAUCCAUAUUGGUUUUGGGUCUAGUAGGAUUUUAGAAAUUUACUUUAUUUAGGAAGAUUGUCUUUGAUUUUAUUUUAUUCACUUUAUUUUAUCAUGUUAGGUACACGUAGGAUUUAGAGAGUUGAUUUGCAAUUUGUUUCCUUGUUUAGGUUAGUUUCCUUAUUUCAGUUGAGUUUCUAUUUUAUGUCUUCUAUUUUCCUUUAAAUUGGUUGUAACCAAUAGACAAGUUAGAUUGAAGAAAAUAUGAAUUGAGUGAGUAUUUGUGAAGCAUACGGGCUUAUGUGAGUGAUUCUCUUCCCUCCCCCCCUUUUCUUAGUGUAAUUUCUCCCUUUCCAUGCAACUCUGAAACCCAUCUCAGUGAAUAUUCCUAUUGGCCCUCCAUCAAUUGAUAUCAGAGCCGAAGGAUCCCCAUUCCUUCCCCUCCAUCUCUCUUCCUCCCUUAUCAUUCUCUGUCUGGGUUCUACCGUGACUCAGAAUAGCUAAA